AUGAAGAUAAAACCAGAUAUAGACUCACAGUCUCGUUAUCUGAUGUCAGUCCCAUCAUUACUAACAGUCACAAUAUGGGAUGCAAAAGUCACAAUGAGGAACUUACAAACUACUUCAGCCUCAAAUAACAAAAGCCAAAUACAGUCAGCAACCAUACCCGUCCACUGUUCACAAUUACAUUGAUACGCUCCUCAACAGCAUCGGCUAACCCAACAAUUUUAAGAUCAUGCAAAAUCUGAUCUUUGCCAAGGGAAGACAA
rnacentral:lncRNA from 1 species